rnacentral:rRNA from 1 species
AUGGCUGCUCGUCGGCGUCUUCAUCCGCCACUCGGUGCGGAGCUCUCCCGCUCUCACCCUCGCUGGGUGAUGCUAGAUCGCUUCGUCCACUACAAGGCGUACGCGGGUGAGGCUGUUGCGGAGGAGGUAAUGGACGGCACGCAAUCGGCGAUCUCCUCUACCUGCACCAACAUAAGCAUCGCCGUCUCUCUCAGGGUUGCUGAACCGCCCGCUGUGUCCCGUCUCUACCUCCACUGGCCCGAGCGAUUCAUGACGGCGUCGUUGAGCCAGUCUCCUUGUCUCAUGCGACUCCCGCCUUGCUUCGAUGGUGGGGACAAGAACCCGGACGUGGAUUUGUACUUCCACCCGUACCGUCUCCAGCAGCUGCGAUCUAUGUGGCGUGAUGACAUUGGCCUCCUUUGCCGUGGCAAGGGGGAGUUCGUGGUGGCGCAGCUCACAUUUGGCGGCCAGCUCUGCGUGCUACACCAUAAACCUGGGGAGGAGCAGGGCGACAUGAAUUGGAGCGUCGAAAAUAUGCCCUUACCUGACGGCGAUGACAUCCCAAACCUGCUGCGUGGUUCGUGGCAAACGGACGCCGUCGUCCCCUAUGGUGAUUGUUACCUGUGCUGGGCGGAUUGCUACCUGGGCUUGCUUUUUGUCGGUGUCAUUGACAAGCGGACGAAGCCCCCGUGCUACGUCCCCUUACCUGAUGGUCUGGAUUCCAAUCGUCUGUGCAUUGACCCAGGGUAUCCUGACCCGGCCCGUCGUGUCUGUGUCUCUGAGUCCAGCAUGAUUAACCUCAUAUGUGUUGGUGAUCAUGCUGGCUGCAGUGUGUGUGCCAGUUCUUAUUCUGCUUUCACUAUCACAGUAUGGACUUUGACCAACUUAAGGGAAAAGAAAUGGAUGAAAUGUUUCACCAUGGAAGACAGCAAGUUCUCGGCUGCUCUUGAUUUUGACAAGCGUCUUCCGCAUGUGCUACCAGAGUUCCCUACCAUCAGCUUGGUUAAGCCUGAUGUUGUUUACUUCCGGUUGAAUGGUGGUAAUAAACUUUUCUGGCUGAUUGAGAUUGACAUGAAGAAGGAAGUGCUGGGGUCAACCAGUCUCUACAUCUUUGAAGAAGAAGAAGAAGAGAAAUGCUCCAUUGACAUGGCCCACUGGAGAUCAUUUCCUGGUUACUCCUUUGUUCCCAGCCCGUUCACCCGAUACUUGGACCAGCAUGCCAUCAGAAGUCUGGAACUCAGCGAGAAGUUACAGAAUAUAAGACUUGAGCAAGCUAAAGAAAAGAUAUUUGUUGAAGAGUGA